UGAGAUCACUCCCAGCGUGUCCCGUGCGAGAGGACCCAGCAGGGAGAGAGACAGAGGCCCAGAGGGAACGGCAGACACAGGCAGUCAGGUCAAAGGGCACUUCAGAAAGGCCUGCGGAGUACGUGUCCAGGAGCUGGUCACAGCACAAACACAAGGCCGUAUUACAGGAGUCAUGUACGAGGGCUACAGUAUGACGUGCUGGUGUAUGGGGUGUCCAUACAGCAAUGUGCUGUUCAUAUAAGGCCUACAAGGUGAGAGCACAAUAAACAGGGGUCUGAAAGAGGGGGUACAGGGGCAGAUAAUGGUCUGAAGGGGGGGGUGCAGGGGCAGAUAAGGGUCUGAAAGAGGGGUGCAGGGGCAGAUAAGGGUCUGAAAGAGGGGGUGCAGGGGCAGA